AUACGGAGGGUGCAAGCGUUAAUCGGAAUUACUGGGCGUAAAGCGCGCGUAGGCGGUUCGGUAAGUUGGAUGUGAAAGCCCAGGGCUCAACCUUGGAACUGCAUUCAAAACUGCCAGGCUAGAGUACGGUAGAGGGGGGUAGAAUUCCACGUGUAGCGGUGAAAUGCGUAGAGAUGUGGAGGAAUACCAGUGGCGAAGGCGGCCCCCUGGAUCGAUACUGACGCUGAGGUGCGAAAGCGUGGGGAGCAAACAGGAUUAGAAACCCUAGUAGUCC
rnacentral:rRNA from 1 species